rnacentral:rRNA from 1 species
AGCUGUCACUUNCGGAUGGGCCNNCGGCGCAUUAGCUAGUUGGUAAGGUAACGGCUUACCAAGGCGACGAUGCGUAGCCGACCUGAGAGGGUGAUCGGCCACACUGGGACUGAGACACGGCCCAGACUCCUACGGGAGGCAGCAGUAGGGAAUCUUCCGCAAUGGACGAAAGUCUGACGGAGCAACGCCGCGUGAGUGAUGAAGGUUUUCGGAUCGUAAAACUCUGUUGUCAGGGAAGAACAAGUGCCGUUCAAAUAGGGCGGCACCUUGACGGUACCUGACCAGAAAGCCCCGGCUAACUACGUGCCAGCAGCCGCGGUAAUACGUAGGGGGCAAGCGUUGUCCGGAAUUAUUGGGCGUAAAGCGCGCGCAGGCGGUCCUUUAAGUCUGAUGUGAAAGCCCACGGCUNAACCGUGGAGGGCNAUUGGAAACUGGAGGACUUGAGUACAGAAGAGGAGAGUGGAAUUUCCACGU